UUAGUUUUCAACUGUCCAUCCAUCGUUAGUUCAUCACGUUAACUUUGCAUGAAGGCAUUUUACUCGCAAACCACUGCACCCAGGACCUUCAAACUUCACAUGCUGAUAGUACUUAUUGAGUACACGACCCCUACUGACUUUGGGUUCACCAGGUCAAAAGUCAAGGUCACAGGGGACAAUGUUAACUUUUUGUAUGAAGGCACUUUACUCGCGAACCACUGCACCCAGGAACUUCCAACUUCACAUGCUGAUAGUACUUAUUGAGUACACGACCCCUACUGACUUUGGGGUCACCAGGUCAGAGGUCAAGGCGCUACGGGGGGUGGGGGGGGGGGGGAGGCAUUUGUCACCAUUAGCGACAGCUCUUGUUAACUUUUAAAUUAUUAUUAUGUUCUUAUGCAACUAUGAACAUGCCAAUUGUAUAUACUUGUAAAUGUUUGUGCAGACGGUAUUGAAUAUUGGUCUUUGACCAAAUAUGUCUAUCCACAAUAAAUAAAGUCAUUAUUAUUAUUAUUAUUAAAAUACCCACAAUCCCACACCACCAUUCUGUUGCAGUGAUUAGACUGAAAGACUGCAAUAAUAAAGAAAUACCAAUAAAACAGAUUUCUGAUAAUUUACUGCAUUGCUUUAAUAGUUAUUGCAAAUUAUUUAUGAUAUGAUUUCAUUACUUUCAGUGCAAAAAGCAAGAUUUUUCCUGCAAUAAAAAACACAGAUACACAAAUGGGAGUCAUGCUCACCUUUGCAGAUAAAACAAGAUAAGAUAUAACCUGGAAAAUCUGUGAGAAAAAAAAGUGCCUCUUUGAUACAUCUGCAAAUCCAGGAUAUACAGGUGAAAGCUGUUUAUGAGCAAUUAAGCAAUAUAGGAUCAGAAGAAGACCAUCUUGCAGAGGCUAGUUGAGGCCUUUUUCCAUGCAGCAUAAAAUUUUGCAGAGGCUCCUGCCAUAGUUGCUGAGAUCACUCCGGCUUCAGAUCACUUACACCUCACAGCUGCUGCGAGUUUUGUAGCCUGGGGAUCAAAUUCUGUCAUGCCAGGAAGCCAUCCAGCUCAGUGGUUCUAGUCAGACUGUUUGUCCCAUUUUGAGUAGAAGGCAAAGGCUGUGUCAAAUACUUGAUCAUCUGAGGAUGUCACACAUUUGAAGAGACACGAUCAACAUGGCAGAUUUAGUGCCACCAUUUGGUGAAAUGGCAAACUGUACCACUCUGAAAUCAUUUCAGAGAAGAUGGAUAUUCACUUUAUUUGUUGAGGAAGAAAGAAGUUAAGAAGAAAAAUAGAAGCCUUUUAACUUUGGAAAAAGUAGGCAAGUAGAGAGCUAUUCUAAAGUUCUGAAUUAUGACUGUCCCUCAAUGUAUCCACAUGCUAAAAGCUAGCCUGUCCGCUUAGCUUGAUAGGGAGAAUGCAGAUCUGUGGAUCACAAGGUCAUGAGUUCGAUUCCCUGGCAAGGUGUAAGUUCUCCAUGAGGAUUUGAUAAAAGACAUUUUGUCUGAAGUCAUUUCGUCAUUCACCUCUGAUUCAUGUGGAGAAGUUGACAAUUACUUGCUGAGAACAGGUUUGUACUGAUACAGAAUCCUACAACACUAAUUAGGUUUACUAAAAUAUUGUUGAAAAAUGGCGCUAAACUCAAAAACAAAGCAAAUAUGCUAAAAGUUACAUUUGCGCUCAAAAGUUUUUUUUUACCUUUUUCAGAAAAUGCGAGUCGGUAAGACAUACUCAGACUGUUCACGCUUUGCAUUUUCCAGGUGACAUUUUAUCUACGGAUUGCCAUUGCAUCAGAGAUUCUGUAAGUAUUAAAAGGGGUGCGUACUUAAAAGAUACUGACUGAAUGGCUAACAGUGCACAGAUGUGCAGGCUGAUCAUGAUCUACACUGGUCGCAAAGGCAGAGUUUAAAGUCGUGUCCAGCAUGAAGUUGUUGGCAGUAGUGUCAUUCAGAUCUUGGCAUAAUGGAAUUCAGGUUUCCAAGCUGAUUAAAUUGGGAUUGUCCAAGAUGAGUUACACGGCCAUGCAAGAUUUUUCAUAGAGCAAACUGACAUCAGCAUAAAAGCAACAACAUUACAACAGUAGAAUUUGAAAAUGUGCACAGUUGCAGCAGAAUUUAGCUAAUUUAUUCUGCUCUACCAGGCUGAGACAUUUUGUGUUAUUCUCAGUUUUAGCAAGGAUAUAGCCAAGGAAUUUGAUCAGGGAGAUGAAAGAACAACCAAGCAAGUGCAGUCCCCAUGUUAGACUGAUAGUCUUCUAGAUGUUCCUAAAAAAGACAGUACAGCCGUACUUUAGACGUUUUUACUUGCUAGCAAAGAAAAACUGGCUGGAUGGCUUCCUCAUAGAAAAUUCUACAGCCCAAUCAAGGUUUCGAUCCCACAUGUGGAAGUGGCAGGUGAUUUGAAAUCAGCAACCCUAAUGACUCGCCUAGACAAAUAAAACUGAAGACUGCAUGAUUCAGUACCAGUAAGUUAUGGUUCUUCUAGCAUUUGAAGAUGUAUAGAUUUCACAAGCUAAAUUUGUAACCUCAACCAGAAAGAUUGAAAAAAGCAUUUUGCACUGUUCACUUGUUUGUGAAAAGGGUAAAACACUUAAAAAAAAAAAAAAAAAAAAAGGUAAUAGGAAAAAAAAGUAUUACUGUAGCAAAGAUAAGAUCAUACUGAUCAGCAAUAAUAUUAUUGGCAAUUUUCUUGUGUUAAUUGAGCCGUGCCAUGAGAAAACCAACAUAGUGGGUGUGCGACCAGCAUGGAUCCAGACCAGCCUGCGCAUCCGCGCAGUCUGGUCAGGAUCCAUGCUGUUCGCUAACAGUUUCUCCAAUUCCAAUAGGCUUCAAAAGCAAACAGCAUGGAGCCUGACCAGACUGCGUGGAUGUGCAGUCUGGUCUGGAUCCAUGCUGGUCGCAAAGCCACUAUGCUGGUUUUCCCAUGGCACGGCUCAAUUUAUUAUACAGACUAUAAAUGUUAUCUUACAGCAUUUUAUUACAAAUAUUUCAACUUUUUUGCCUGUUCUUAUGCAUUUGAAGUUAAAUAUUCAUGUCGCUUUCAAUUUUGAUGUAGAUAUUUUAUGUUGAUUUAAUUUUACUUAUCUUUUUGUAUAUGCCUGCUUAAUUUGAAUUUUUAUACAAAAAAUUCUUGUCUGAUUUAUGAAGAAUGCUGAAAUAUCAUUUUGUUACAUAGUUAUUAUGUUUAGUAUAAGAAGUACAAAAUUUAUAAAAAAAAAAAAAUUGUACCUUUUACACAGUCUUUUUGUUAUUGUCCGGCCAGUUAUGUUUAGUAUAAGAAGUAAAGUGUUUAUAAAUGUUGUAAUUUUUACACAGUCAUUAUGUUAUU